UACAGAGGUCUCAAGCGUUGUUCGGAUUCAUUGGGCGUAAAGGGUGCGUAGGCGGCGCGGUAAGUCGGGUGUGAAAUCUCGGGGCUUAACUCCGAAACUGCAUUCGAUACUGCCGUGCUUGAGGACUGGAGAGGAGACUGGAAUUCACGGUGUAGCAGUGAAAUGCGUAGAGAUCGUGAGGAAGACCAGUGGCGAAGGCGGGUCUCUGGACAGUUCCUGACACUGAGGCACGAAGGCCAGGGGAGCAAACGGG
rnacentral:rRNA from 1 species